rnacentral:tRNA from 1 species
UCCCUUCUGGCUCAGUUGGUAAAGAAUCUGCCUGCAAUUUGCAGGAGACCCAGGUUCGAUCCCUGGGUCGGGAA